rnacentral:rRNA from 1 species
CCCAUACGGGUUGAAGCAUGACCGUAAGGACAUGUGGACAGUAUGGGAGUGAGAAUGUUGGCAUGAGUAGCGAGAUGUGGGUGAGAAUCCCACAGGCCGUAAACCCAAGGUUUCCAGGGGAAGGUUCGUCCGCCCUGGGUUAGUCGGGACCUAAGCUGAGGCCGAAAGGCGUAGGUGAUGGACAACAGGUUGAUAUUCCUGUACUACCGAUAACCGUUUGAGAGAAGGGAUGACACAGUAGGAUAAGCUAAGCACACUGUUGGUUAUGUGUGCCCAAGCAUUGAGGCAGUCAAAGUAGG